GCGUUUCGGGUCACGUACAUCCGAGGGUCG
rnacentral:rRNA from 5 species